ACGAACGCUGGCGGCGUGCCUAAUACAUGCAAGUCGAACGGUCUUUCUAUGGAAGCUUGCUUCCACUGAGAAGAUAGUGGCGAACGGGUGAGUAACACGUGGGUAACCUGCCCAUAAGAGGGGGGAUAACAUCCGGAAACGGGUGCUAAUACCGCAUAGUUUUCUUGAUUGCAUGAUUGAGAAAGGAAAGACGGCCUUUGUGCUGUCGCUUAUGGAUGGACCCGCGGCGUAUUAGUUAGUUGGUGAGGUAACGGCUCACCAAGACGAUGAUACGUAGCCGACCUGAGAGGGUGAUCGGCCACAUUGGGACUGAGACACGGCCCAAACUCCUACGGGAGGCAGCAGUAGGGAAUCUUCCGCAAUGGACGAAAGUCUGACGGAGCAACGCCGCGUGAGUGAAGAAAGGUUUUCGGAUCGUAAAACUCUGUUGUCAGAGAAGAACAAGUUGGAGAGUAACUGCUCCAGCCUUGACGGUAUCUGACCAGAAAGCCACGGCUAACUACGUGCCAGCAGCCGC
rnacentral:rRNA from 1 species